CACCACCUCCCCCAUCCUCUCCUCUGUCCUCGUAUAAAGCGCCGCAGCCCACGACGGCGACGCCGCCCAUGGGAGCUGGAGCACCAGCACACGCCGCUGCCCCGGCUCCGCGCCGCGAACCCUAGCCGACCGCCCCAUGGCCGCCGAGUCCUGCGGCAGCCGCGGCGCCUCGCCGCCGCCGCCUCCUCCCUCCACUGGCGGCGCGGCCGGGAGGCGCCGCAAGGCGGAGGCCUACGCCGAGGUGCUCCGCCGCAUCCGCGCUGGCGCCGGCGGCUACGGUGCUGCUCGCCCCGGGUUGGAGGACGAGCUCUGGGCCCAUUUCCAAGGCCUACCUGCCAGAUAUGCUUUGGAUGUCAACGUAGAGCGGGUUGAAGAUGUCUUACUGCACAAGAAAUUGCUCGAGCAAGCCCAUGAACCCAUGAAUGGUCUGGUCUUUGAUGUUCGUCCUUCACAGGUUGUUACUCUGGAAGAAAGCACUGGAUUUGAGUCCGCAACUUCCUUUAAGCAAGAAGAACAAGAUCCCCAGUGCUCAGUAUUCACAUCAAGAGGUCAAAGGCCUCUGCAUGAAAUUAUAUUUGCGUGUGACGAUAAGCCAAAGCUUCUGAGUCAGUUAACCUCUCUUCUUGGGGAGCUUGGUCUUAAUAUCCAAGAAGCACAUGCAUAUUCGACGAGUGACGGCUAUUCCUUGGACAUCUUUGUUGUUGAUGGCUGGAAGUAUGAGGCUGAUAUUCUCCGAAGUGCAUUGAGGGAAGGCGUUGAUAAAAUAAAGUACAGAGCAUGGCCGUUGGUUCCGUCGAUGUCUGCUAGGAUGGAUCACCAACCAUUGGAGGUUUCUCCUUCAUCUGACUUUGUCCAGAUACCAGCUGAUGCAGCUGAUGUUUGGGAAGUCGAUCCCAGGCUUCUCAAAUUCGAACAAAAAUUAGCGUCUGGAUCAUUUGGUGAUCUAUACCAUGGGACGUACUGUAGUCAAGAUGUAGCCAUCAAAGUACUCAAGCCUGAGCGGGUUAGCGUUGAUAUGCUGCGCGAGUUUGCGCAGGAAGUAUAUAUAAUGAAAAAGGUUCGUCACAAAAAUGUUGUGCAAUUUAUCGGUGCAUGCACGAGACCUCCUGUUUUGUGUAUCGUUACAGAAUUCAUGCAUGGAGGCAGUAUUUUUGACUUCCUUUACAAUAGACGAGGAAAUUUUCAGCUACCGGAUGUGAUUAGAAUUGCAUCUGAUGUGUCCAAGGGAAUGAAUUACUUGCAUCAGAUUAAUAUAGUUCAUAGGGACUUGAAGACUGCAAAUCUUCUUAUGGAUGAUCAGGUUGUCAAGGUUGCAGACUUUGGGGUUGCAAGGGUUAAAGACCAGUCAGGAGUUAUGACUGCAGAAACAGGAACCUACAGAUGGAUGGCCCCUGAGUGCUUAAAUGUGGUUUCAUAUCAAGCGGGUUACAUACUAGUUGUGCAGACUGCAGACAGAAUGCCCAAAAUGUCAUUGAGCACUUGCCGUAUGAUCAUAGAGCGGAUGUUUUCAGUUUUGGGAUAGUUCUUUGGGAGCUGCUGACUGGAAAGCUUCCAUACGAGGACAUGACACCUCUUCAGGCAGCAGUUGCCGUUGUUCAAAAGGAUCUGAGGCCUAUUAUUGCUGCUGAUACUCAUCCUAUGCUCGCGAAUCUCCUUCAGAGAUGCUGGCAGAAAGAUCCUGCUCUAAGACCAACCUUUGCCGAGAUUGUGGAUAUACUCAACUCUAUAAAGGAGGUGGUUCAGAGUUCUGUGCAUCACAAGAGGCAUCCAGGUCGAUCGCACUCUGGGAGGAGACGAGGCUGUUGAUGCGCCAGUUUUGUGUAGUGUGCACGCCCGUUUCAUUUUCAUUUUGUAGUCGAGUGAUGACUUCAGAAUGCGGCCAGAAUAGUUUACUAUGUUCAUUCCGAGAGUUUUUUUACAACUUUUUUCUUUAAUUUUGUGAAAGGUUAUCAGCUUUUUAAAUUUUGACUAAACUUUCCACCUUUAAAAGCUUAUAGAAGGGGGCAUAUCCACGUUUACAUUUGGCCUGUAUCUGUA